rnacentral:rRNA from 1 species
CACGUAGGCACCAAGCGUUAUCCGGAUUUAUUGGGCGUAAAGAGCUCGUAGGCGGUUCGGUAAGUCGGGUGUGAAAACUCUGGGCUCAACCCAGAGAGGCCACCCGAUACUGCUGUGACUAGAGUGCGGUAGGGGAGCGGGGAAUUCCUGGUGUAGCGGUGAAAUGCGCAGAUAUCAGGAGGAACACCAGCGGCGAAGGCGCCGCUCUGGGCCGUAACUGACGCUGGAG